AGGGGUGCAGCUGAGGGGUAGAGAGCUUGCCUAGUAUGCAUGAGGCCCUGGGUUUGAUCCCAGCACCGCUA
rnacentral:tRNA from 1 species